rnacentral:rRNA from 1 species
AUUGAACGCUGGCGGCAGGCCUAACACAUGCAAGUCGAGCGGAUGAAGGGAGCUUGCUCCUGGAUUCAGCGGCGGACGGGUGAGUAAUGCCUAGGAAUCUGCCUGGUAGUGGGGGAUAACGUCCGGAAACGGGCGCUAAUACCGCAUACGUCCUGAGGGAGAAAGUGGGGGAUCUUCGGACCUCACGCUAUCAGAUGAGCCUAGGUCGGAUUAGCUAGUUGGUGGGGUAAAGGCCUACCAAGGCGACGAUCCGGAACUGGUCUGAGAGGAUGAUCAGUCACACUGGAACGGAGACCCGGUCCAGACUCCUACGGGAGGCAGCAGUGGGGAAUAUUGGACAAUGGGCGAAAGCCUGAUCCAGCCAUGCCGCGUGUGUGAAGAAGGUCUUCGGAUUGUAAAGCACGUUAAGUUGGGAGGAAGGGCAGUAAGUUAAUACCUUGCUGUUUUGACGUUACCAACAGAAUAAGCACCGGCUAACUUCGUG